rnacentral:tRNA from 1 species
GCCCGCAUAGUUUAACUUAAACACCAGAUUGUGAUUCUGGAGUUAGGGGUUUGACCCCCCUUGCUGGCC